GGACCACCAAGCGGGAAGCUAUCGAGCCCCAAGAGUGUUCAGCAGACUUGAGAGCAAGGUCUUCUGCUCAAAGGAGAGGUCCUGUGGCAGCCGCUGGGCUUCCCCACCUCAUCCAUCAGGUUCCUGCUUCCAUUCUGGACAGCUUGGUUUUGGACACUAAGGCAAGGAGUGAAGCCUCACGAUCCAGCGUACUUCUCUAUGCUCUGGAUUAGGUUUUAGGCUGUGAAGAUGCAGUCGUCUAUAUUUGUCUCCAAAUUGUCCCUGGAUGUUAACUCAAAGGAAAUUUCUGAACAGACUGGUACUAAGUAGAAUAUGAUUGUUUUCUGAAUUUCGGCGCCUGUGAGUUUUCAUCACUGUUGUGUGGACCAUCAU